AGCGAACGCUGGCGGCAGGCUUAACACAUGCAAGUCGAGCGGGCAUCCUCGAGGUGUCAGCGGCAGACGGGUGAGGAACGCGUGGGAACGUGCCCUGCGGCUCGCAAUAACUCAGGGAAACUGGAGCUAAUACCGGAUACGCCCUUUUGGACUAAAGUUUACUGCCGAAGGAUCGGCCCGUGUCUGAUUGGUUAGUGGGUGGGGUCACGGCCCACCAAGGCGUCGAUCAGGAGCUGGUCUGGGAGGAGGACCAGCCACACUUGGACUGAGACCCGGCCCAGUCUCCUACGCAACGCAGCAGAAGGGAGUAUUGGACGCUGGGGGCAACCCUGGUGACGCCGUGCCGCGUGAGUGGUCCCUCGCUUAGGGUUGCACAGCCAUUUUGGCAGAGACGAUAAUGACGGUACCGGCAGAAUAAGCCCCGGCUAACUUCGUG
rnacentral:rRNA from 1 species